rnacentral:rRNA from 1 species
AGUGAACGCUGGCGGUAGGCCUAACACAUGCAAGUCGAACGGCAGCACAGUAAGAGCUUGCUCUUACGGGUGGCGAGUGGCGGACGGGUGAGGAAUACAUCGGAAUCUACUUUUUCGUGGGGGAUAACGUAGGGAAACUUACGCUAAUACCGCAUACGACCUACGGUUGAAAGCAGUGGAUCUUCGGACCUUGCGCGAUUGAAUGAGCCGCUGUCGGAUUAGCUAGUUGGAGGGGUAAAGGCCCACCAAGGCGACGAUCCGUAGCUGGUCUGUGAGGAUGGUUAGUCACAAGAGAAAUUAGAGACAGUCCAAGCUCCUUAGGGAGGGAGCAGGAGGGUAUAUUAGGCAUAGGGGGCAAAUCUUGAACAACCAUAACAAGUAGGAUGAAGAAGCGAUCCGGUUGUAAAGACCUUUUGUGGGGAAAGAAAAGCAGCAGGUUAAUAACCAGAUGUUCUGACGGUACCAAAAUAAUAAGCACCGGCUAACUUCGUG